AUCUGAACUUUGGUCAGCUGAAUCCAGAGAUAUCUUCUAUAAAAUUACACCUUUUCAUCUUUUAUGUUCUCAGCUUGUCUUUGCCCCUCGUCUGGCUCUGCUCUGAGCAGGGGUGACUCCUCCUCACUCGUUUUCCUUCUGAGGCUUUUCCCAUACUCAUCCCACACUACUUCAACCGACAUCCACGUAGAAGGAAUGACAAUCAGAUGACUAAUUCCACCUUCUGCACUGGACCUGGCACUGUGAGACUCCAGCUCCUCCCCAAAGUCAAAAUGACCGAGAAAGCCACUCAUUCAUCUAAACUGAUGUCCAGAGCUGCGUCCGAGAGUUCACGAUGGCGAUUAUCUCUGAAUGGUAGAACAUCAUCGCAGUUCUGAGUAACUACGAGAUAGCCACUUGCCACUCCUCUUCCAAAAGAGGAGGUCAAAUGCAACUUGGAAUUCAGGAUCCUUACCCUGGCUGCAUACUGCAUGGCACAAAUGGAACACACCCCGCA